AUGGCAGCAUCUAGAUCGAGUGUUCAUGGAGAAAACCAUGCGGAAGAAGAUGCCCCGGUCACACGUGCCGAGCUGCAGCGACUCGAGAACAACUUACUCCAAGCCAUGGAAAGGAUGCUCCAUGAGCGUCCUCCAGUAGGUGGUGAUAGGAUUCGACACCGAUAA
rnacentral:rRNA from 1 species